GACGAACGCUGGCGGCGUGCUUAACACAUGCAAGUCGAACGAUGAACCCGGAGCUUGCUCCGGUGGAUUAGUGGCGAACGGGUGAGUAACACGUGAGUAACCUGCCCUUGACUCUGGGAUAACUGCGGGAAACUGUAGCUAAUACCGGAUACGACCCUCGGCGGCAUCGCCAGGGGGUGGAAAGAAUUUCGGUCAAGGAUGGACUCGCGGCCUAUCAGCUAGUUGGUGAGGUAACGGCUCACCAAGGCGACGACGGGUAGCCGGCCUGGGAGGGUGACCGGCACCACUGGGACUGAGAUACGGCCCAGACUCCUACGGGAGGCAGCAGUGGGGAAUAUUGCACAAUGGGCGCAAGCCUGAUGCAGCGACGCCGCGUGAGGGAUGACGGCCUUCGGGUUGUAAACCUCUUUCAGCACCGACGAAGCGCAAGUGACGGUAGGUGCAGAAGAAGGACCGGCCAACUACGUGCCAGCCGCCGCGGUAA
rnacentral:rRNA from 1 species